GAGACACUAGUUCAAUCAGUCAUAACAUUGCCUUGUCAAGGCAAAACUGCGGGUUAGAGCCCCGCGUGUCUUU
rnacentral:tRNA from 1 species